UAUACCGCACUGUACACAUAGCUUGUGUCAGUCGCUAUCGGAACAACCACGAGGUGAGUCGGGGACCUUGGCUAAUUUUCCACGUUUUGCUUCGUCAUCCCCUGGGAUACUUAUUGUAUAACGUGUGCUAUAUUUGUCCUGGCGACAUUUAAAACUGAAGAAAACCAAGGACCACGUGUUGAUGCAUAAAAGUUUAGUGUCUAAAAGUCGUGUUUUCUUCGAAGCCACCCCAUGUGAAAUCUCCAGGCACCCUAAAUUAUAAAUACGGGAGGAUUCCACGUAAUAUAAAUUGUUUUAGUUUAUCUAAAUUUAUCAAUUUGAAUAUGUAAUAAGUUAGUAAUAAUUUUAGACGACGACGACAAAUAUAUAUCUGUUAAACUGGAGGAUUUAAAAAAGAAUUUCUAGAAGCGAUGCCAUAAUGCUGUGUUCUUGUAAUUUAUUCAAGCUACGAAUUGAAGUCAUUGACGAUGGAACAAAGGAGGUGCCCAGAAUGUUAUAGUUUUCUCACGACAUAUGAGUGAUCAAAGAGAAUCUGAUGUGAAAGAAGUGAAACCAAAGUCAUGAACGAUGGAACAAAGGAGGUCCCCAGAAUGUUUUAGUUUUCUCAUGACAUUUGAGUGAUCAAAGAGAAUCUGGUGUGAACCCAAAGUUAUUGACAAUGGAACAAAGGAGGUGCCCAGAAUGUUAUAGUUUUCUCACGACAUAUGAGUGAUCAAAGGGAAUCUGAUGUGAAAGAAGUGAAACCAAAGUCAUGAACGAUGGAACAAAGGAGGUCCCCAGACUGUUUUAGUUUUCUCAUGACAUUUGAGUGAUCGAAGAGAAUCUGGUGUGAAAGAAGUGAAACCAAAGGUAUUAUGACAAAAUGCUCUAAAAUAUAAAGGGUUCAAUACGGAUUUUCUACAACCACUGUCACAAGAAGAUUAAGGAUGAAGUCCAUUCUAUACAUUGCUUCAAAGAAAUAUCAAGUACAGCCAAUGUAAAGAAGAAUAUAUUAGGCUUUAUUUACAUAAAAUUGGUGCAGUGGUAGUGUAUUUAAACUGCGGUGGUAGCGGUAAUUUCUAAAUGAAGUUUUCGCAAUAGGCAGUAUGGUAUCAUUAUAGUAUUAACAAAUCACGUUAUUAAUGUUUCUGCACUACACACACAAAUACACUUCAACUGCACCAACGUUUAUGUGAAUGAGCUACUAGUAUCUGUUUACCAGAUAUUGAAAAUUAAUCAUUUAAAUUCAAAAAUUAAAAUAAUAAGUAGUCAUGUAUGUUACUUAAAAUAGGUAAUAUUUUAAGCAACAUGUAUAAAUUGCCAUUUAUGUUAUGUAAA